UGAUAAUUCAACAGGAAGGAGAUUACUGACCCUUCAUAGACUGGCAGCUCUUUAAAUUAAGAUGGCUCCUAAGAGAAAAGAUCAAUUCCUCGGCCUCCUGUGACCAAAGUCAACAAAAUGAAAUACCGGAGCAUAAUUUAUACCAGUCAUGUUUGACUUAUCACACUUGCGUGUCAAGUUACUCAGAGGUGUCCAGAACGGUAAGUAUUUCCCAUUUAAACUGGG
ensembl:lncRNA